AGAGUUUGAUCCUGGCUCAGGACGAACGCUGGCGGCGUGCCUAACACAUGCAAGUCGAACGGGGUCCAUGAGAGCUUGCUCUCGGAAGACCUAGUGGCGAACGGGUGAGUAACACGUGAGAAACCUGCCUUGGAGUGGGGAAUAACUCGAGGAAACCCGAGCUAAUACCGCAUACCUUCUCUUGACCGCAUGGUCAGUUGAAGAAAGAAUUUCGCUCCAAGAGGGUCUCGCGGCCUAUCAGUUUGUUGGUGGGGUAACGGCCUACCAAGACUACGACGGGUAGCUGGUUUGAGAGAACGAUCAGCCACACUGGAACUGAGACACGGUCCAGACUCCUACGGGAGGCAGCAGUGGGGAAUCUUGCGCAAUGGGCGAAAGCCUGACGCAGCAACGCCGCGUGCGGGAUGAAGGCCUUCGUGGUUGUAAACCGCUUUCAGCAGGGACGAAAAUGACGGUACCUGCAGAAGAAGCCCCGGCUAACUACGUGCCAGCAGCCGCGGUAAUACGUAGGGGGCAAGCGUUGUCCGGAAUCAUUGGGCGUAAAGAGCUCGUAGGCGGUUCAGUAAGUCAGGUGUGAAAGCUCCGAGCUCAACUCGGAGAGGCCACCUGAUACUGCUGUGACUAGAAUCCAGUAGGGGAGUGUGGAACUCCUGGUGUAGCGGUGAAAUGCGCAGAUAUCAGGAAGAACACCAGCGGCGAAGGCGGCACUCUGGGCUGGAAUUGACGCUGAGGAGCGAAAGUGUGGGU
rnacentral:rRNA from 1 species